CUGGACUAGAAUGUGAGGGGAUAUCGGGUAAUGCCGGUAGUCCGGGAAACCGGACCCAAAACAAGGUGCUGCAUGGCUGUCGUCAGCUCGUGUCGUGAGAUGUUGGGUUAAGUCCCGCAACGAGCGCAACCCUUAUCAACAGUUGCCAUCAUUAAGUUGAGAACUCUAUCAAGACUGCUGUUGAUAAAACGGAGGAAGGUGGGGAUGAUGUCAAGUCAUCAUGGCCUUUAUGCUUAGGGCUACACACGUGCUACAAUGGCCGGUACAAAGCGUUACGAUCCCGCGAGGGGGAGUUAAUCGCAAAAACCGGUCUCAGUUCGGAUUGGAGUCUGCAACUCGACUCCAUGAAGUUGGAAUCGCUAGUAAUCGCAA
rnacentral:rRNA from 1 species